rnacentral:lncRNA from 1 species
CAUUUUUCACUUUCUUGGGGGAAAACCGUCUGUUUGUGGAUCGUUUGCGGGGUGUAUGUACACCUUUCUUGUUUGACGCUUUCUUGCUAACUGUGAAGAAACCAGCGUUUUCGCGCCAGUCGACAGCCACGGGCAGCUGGCGUGUGCAGCGUGGCAACCCCCCCCAUUUGGGUCCCAUUUUUGUCUUCGUAUACGUUGUUCUGUUGUGUGCCACACCGCGCCGGUGCAAAUUCCGUGUUUUUCGCCUUUCUUUGUCGAAGUUUCCGUUGUUUUAUGUGUUGCCACCGGAACAUAUGCACAUUGGCGUUUUCACCCGUUCUAGCCUGUGGCACCUUCCCGCGAGCCGAGUCUCGUUGCGUGCCCGCCAGAGGCGUUCGUCUCUGCCUGUUUCCCGUGCGCGCCUGUUUGCCUCAAAAACACCCUCCGCUCUCUGUACACAGCGACGCCCGGUUUCGCGGCGCGACACCCUUCUCACGUCAGUUGAGGUGUCUAGGAACUGAUUUUUCGCCUUUUCGCUCGGAUUUUUGGCGCGCAGGUCGUGCAUUUCGUGGAACAUCCGCUGCGGACCCCCGCUCGCUGUUUCUUGUAAUCACCAAACACCCGGCGCGACAACGG